rnacentral:ncRNA from 1 species
UUCAACUAAGAAGCCCUUGUUACUUAGUUGAACGUGGGCAUACGAAUGUAUCAACACUAGUGGGCCAUUUUUGGUAAGCAGAACUGGCGAUGCGGGAUGAACCGGAAGCCGGGUUACGGUGCCCAACUGCGCGCUAACCUAGAACCCACAAAGGGUGUUGGUCGAUUAAGACAGCAGGACGGUGGUCAUGGAAGUCGAAA